GAUGAACGCUGGCGGCGUGCCUAAUACAUGCAAGUUGAGCGAACAGAUGAGGAGCUUGCUCCUCUGACGUUAGCGGCGGACGGGUGAGUAACACGUGGAUAACCUACCUAUAAGACUGGGAUAACUUCGGGAAACCGGAGCUAAUACCGGAUAAUAUAUUGAACCGCAUGGUUCAAUAGUGAAAGACGGUUUUGCUGUCACUUAUAGAUGGAUCCGCGCCGCAUUAGCUAGUUGGUAAGGUAACGGCUUACCAAGGCAACGAUGCGUAGCCGACCUGAGAGGGUGAUCGGCCACACUGGAACGGAGACACGGUCCAGACUCCUACGGGAGGCAGCAGUAGGGAAUCUUCCGCAAUGGGCGAAAGCCUGACGGAGCAACGCCGCGUGAGUGAUGAAGGUCUUCGGAUCGUAAAACUCUGUUAUUAGGGAAGAACAAAUGUGUAAGUAACUAUGCACGUCUUGACGGUACCUAAUCAGAAAGCCACGGCUAACUACGUG
rnacentral:rRNA from 1 species